rnacentral:rRNA from 1 species
GUAGGGCGGGACACGUGGUAUCCUGUCUGAAUAUGGGGGGACCAUCCUCCAAGGCUAAAUACUCCUGACUGACCGAUAGUGAACCAGUACCGUGAGGGAAAGGCGAAAAGAACCCCGGCGAGGGGAGUGAAAAAGAACCUGAAACCGUGUACGUACAAGCAGUGGGAGCCCCACCACUAAGCCAGUGGUGAACUCCACAUACGCAUCCUUUGCUGAGGAUACGGUUAACGGAGCGAAAGCGACGUUCAACCGCAAAAGAAGCAGAGGGGGCUUAGUGGUGGGGUGACUGCGUACCUUUUGUAUAAUGGGUCAGCGACUUAUAUUCUGUAGCAAGGUUAACCGUAUAGGGGAGCCGGAGGGAAACCGAGUCUUAAUUGGGCGUUAAGUUGCAGGGUAUAGACCCGAAACCCGGUGAUCUAGCCAUGGGCAGGUUGAAGGUUGGGUAACACUAACUGGAGGACCGAACCGACUAAUGUUGAAAAAUUAGCGGAUGACCUGUGGCUGGGGGUGAAAGGCCAAUCAAACCGGGAGAUAGCUGGUUCUCCCCGAAAGCUAUUUAGGUAGCGCCUCGUGAAUUCAUCUCCGGGGGUAGAGCACUGUUUCGGCUAGGGGGCCAUCCCGGCUUACCAACCCGAUGCAAACUGCGAAUACCGGAGAAUGUUAUCACGGGAGACACACGGCGGGUGCUAACGUCCGUCGUGAAGAGGGAAACAACCCAGACCGCCAGCUAAGGUCCCAAAGUCAUGGUUAAGUGGGAAACGAUGUGGGAAGGCCCAGACAGCCAGGAUGUUGGCUUAGAAGCAGCCAUCAUUUAAAGAAAGCGUAAUAGCUCACUGGUCGAGUCGGCCUGCGCGGAAGAUGUAACGGGGCUAAACCAUGCACCGAAGCUGCGGCAGCGACGCUGAUGCGUUGUUGGGUAGGGGAGCGUUCUGUAAGCCUGUGAAGGUGGCCUGUGAGGGUUGCUGGAGGUAUCAGAAGUGCGAAUGCUGACAUAAGUAACGAUAAAGCGGGUGAAAAGCCCGCUCGCCGGAAGACCAAGGGUUCCUGUCCAACGUUAAUCGGGGCAGGGUGAGUCGACCCCUAAGGCGAGGCCGAAAGGCGUAGUCGAUGGGAAACGGGUUAAUAUUCCCGUACUUGGUGUUACUGCGAAGGGGGGACGGAGAAGGCUAUGUUGG